UUACAAAACAUUCUUUUUAUUUCUAAAACUGAAGGUUAUUACAUGGGAAGGUUACAUUUAUUACAAGUCCUGAUAUACUCAAAGUGCAUAACUUAUUACAAUAGCAGAAAGGUAGGAACCCUCCAAAGCUUAUACAUAAGCCUAACUAAUCUUCCUCCAGAACUGGAAACGUCCUCCAGCCUUAGGAACAGGUAGUGUACUCCUCAUCACCUACAACAACAUGGGUUCGAAAACCCUGAGUACGGAGUGUACUUUCGUAAGUCUUACCCGACUAAGGAAAAAUGACUCUCAAAGAUAUGCUGGUUAAACAGGAAUCAAGGAAAAGGCUUUAGCAAGAAUCAACUUAGAUAGUUUUGCAGAAAUAGCUUACUAAAGUGAGUCCUUACUUUCAAUAUUUUAACGCCAGAUUAAAUAUUAAUAGACUCUGGUUGCAUCUAGUCUAAUUUCACCAUCUCAUCAAUACAACAUCAUUUUUAUUCUUAAUGUUUACAUCCUGACUUAGGUUGCAGGUCAGAGAUCAAGUCUCCACUGUCCGGAGAUAUAACGACGAUCCGAAUCGAUUUACUCAGCUGAGGAUCUCUAACCACACGACAUAUGUUUCUCGUAACUCUUGCAUAUGUCUACCAUUCCCACGGAUCCUCCACUGCAUGAACAGGUCCGCGCCACCCGAGAGCACACCACCCCUUUUAGGCGGUCCUUUGCCAGGAGGGUACGUGCCACUCUCGCCAUCUCUUCACUCCCAGUGCGCGAUUGUCUUUUCAUGUAUGGAAUAGCCGGGUUCAAUCUUAUCCUGUCCCAUAUCCAGGGCAUGUGGCUAGUUAAGAUAGUCCUUGAUCAUACAGGCCUACAUACGCAUCCAAUCCUUAAUUAACCUAGGUAGAACAUCACCUGUUCCUAGCCCAAGUCCCAAUUUAAGUACUUCCAUCCUUAGGAUUUUUUUGUGUUCCUUAGGAUGAAAAGAGCAUUAUAGGAAACUUUGCAGUAAGAUCCCAUCAUGCUCCCAAUGAAAAUAUUCUUGCAGGUAGAAGCCAUCCUUCCUCAGGAUAUCCCCUGAGCUAGGCAUUAAUGCAAAAGACAACCUCUAUCCACAAGAUCUAAGCAGGGCUAAGCAUUUUUGUAAAUCAUAUUUUGAUACUUCAUCAGAAGUAUCUAUAAAGGUAUGGAUAUCAAGGUAGGCAAUGCAUCCAAUAGUUUUCAAGCAACUCCUAUAAACUUAAUGCACAUUUCACUAGACUUAAAGUGUAUAAAAAUCUUUUAAAAACACAAGGAAGGGGUUGCAUGCACCGGGGCUUGCCUUAUUGCAGUGAAGAGGUACUAGAUCCUUCUACCCAACCUUUAGUUAGAUAGCUCCAUCCACUUGAUGAGCAGGCACUGGAGUAGACUCCUCUUUAGCAACCACUUCAUCUUGAAUCUUCACUCUUUAUUUUGGGAGCUCUACAUGAAAUGACAUGAACAUGAAUGCUUAUGCUUAUGCUGUUUGCAAAUAAAAUACUAUAAAACAUCACAAGACUAUACUUCCUCUCAAUUCCACAUCAAGGUUUGACAUACUCCCCUACUAGGAGUUGUUCCUCUAUAAUCACUCUUUAUCUUUGUUUCAAUGGCUACCAGCUAACCCCAAACAGAUCUCAAGUUGAACACCAACUUGAGGUGAAAACACAAAAAUUUAAAUUCAGGUAACUGAAAAAGAAUUGAACCAAAUUCAGUUUCAGAUACUGAAACUUUACAUAGUCGACACCACAACCAAUAUUCAGUCUCUGUUUCCCCUCACUUCCAUUCACAAACACAUGUGAGAGCAGCAGGGGUGAUCUUCGUUAGUUUUCAAAUGAAAGCCUGAACUCAAUUACCUUAGGCCUGCUGCCCCAUCUACACACCUCCCUGUUAAAGCCCCUGGUAUCUCACAAUUUCAUAUGGUACAGACCAAAACUUAUUAGCCAAAGUUAUACUCCGACUUUAGCUUUACCAACUUGGUAUAACAACCCAUGAUUGAAAACAUUCAGAGCAAAUUUUAUUAUGCCCCAAAGUUACCCCCACACUGAACUGCUAUUUCAGCUAACUAAAUAAAAUUCAGUCACAGUCACUCUGACAGUCCAGUUUUGGACAGCUGUUAUUUCCUACUUUAUGUGGAUUCAAGCCUAACUUGCUUAAAGGGAUUGGCUCCUUAUAACAUGGUCUUUCACUUUGCUAUAGCAUUCCUACCCCAAUUAUUCUUGGAUUAAUUACCACAAGGACCCAAAUUGAAUAAAAACACAUAAAUUCAGACUUAAAUAUUAUUCUAAGUCUGAAUCCCAACACUUGACAAUCCACAUUUUGGCCACUUUUACUCCCAAAUUUUUGUGGAACCAAGUCCACCUCACUUUAUAAAACUUGCUCUCUUUACUAUGGUCUCCAGCUUUGCUAUGGAAACUUUAAUCCAAAACUACAUGAAUCAGUCACAAAUGAAUCCCAAACUAGGCAUCCUGUUGCAAUUCAGUUCUCAGAACUGAAUAAAAAUUCAGUUAUGUGUCCAGCCUGACAGACCAACUUUAGCCAACCCUUUUCUUCAAUUUUUACACAGCAACAGACCAAGCUCACAUUACCAAGGUUAUUCCUUAGAUAUAGCUCUAAUACUUUGGUAUAGUACCCUUAGGUUGAAAACAUUCAGAACAAUUUUUUUGUGAAGCACCAAAGUGGAGCUCACACACUAGAAUCUAGUUUCAGCCUUCUGCACUAAGUCUGGGAUCCAGAAACCUGACAGCCUAUGUUUGAGCAAAUUUCACAUCUAGUUCCAGGCAACCAAUAGUGAUAGAGUUCAAGCAGUAAAUGGUGUGAGCUUCACUGACCUGAGAUGAUUACAGAACAAGCUUCAUCCAGGCCAGCAACUCCUUAGGACGUCCGAGCCAUGGCGAGGUGGGAGAACUGCAGGCGUGGUCACCAGCACAGGGGAAUGGCAUGCGAUGAACUGGAGAGGGCUACAGAGACCUGUAGACUUUAGAAUCACCACCCUAAGCAGGGAACCAUGGCUAGACUCGAGACAAGGAGGAGAGCUUCACUGAACCUGCACCAAAGGCACUGCAAAUGUAGGAAAGUGUUCCCUGAACCACUACACAACUCAGUGGGGAAGUCUUCUGGGGAUGCCAGCACUGCAUGGCUAACACACAUGGCUUCCAUGCACAAACCUUGCUGGCACAGCGCACAACUCACAAAUAUCACUAAAACACUGAAUCUGGUCUGUUUGAUAUUGAUAAGGAGCAAGCAGUCAAAACUGCACCUACGAACAGACACAUUCCAGCUCACCUUGAGACUUAUUAGUGGGGAGCGAGACUUCUAGUCCUC
rnacentral:lncRNA from 1 species